UGUCCAGUAGCACCUUCGAGACCAACUAAGUUUGUUCUGGGUAUAAGCUUUCGUGUGCACUUAUACCCAGAACAAACUGAGUUGAUCUCUAAGGUGCUACUGGACA